CUGGCGGCGUGCCUAACACAUGCAAGUCGAGCGAGGAGAUCCUUCGGGAUGAUCCUAGCGGCGGACGGGUGAGUAACACGUGGGCAACCUGCCUCAUAGAGAGGAAUAGCCUUCCGAAAGGGAGAUUAAUACCUCAUAACAUUGCAGUUUCGCAUGGAACAGCAAUUAAAGGGGCAAUCCACUAUGAGAUGGGCCCGCGGCGCAUUAGCUAGUUGGUGAGGUAACGGCUCACCAAGGCGACGAUGCGUAGCCGACCUGAGAGGGUGAUCGGCCACAUUGGGACUGAGACACGGCCCAGACUCCUACGGGAGGCAGCAGUGGGGAAUAUUGCACAAUGGGGGAAACCCUGAUGCAAGCAACGCCGCGUGAGUGAUGACGGCCUUCGGGUUGUAAAGCUCUGUCUUCAGGGACGAUAAUGACGGUACCUGAGGAGGAAGCCACGGCUAACUACGUGCCAGCCGCAGC
rnacentral:rRNA from 1 species